GACGAACGCUGGCGGCGUGCUUAACACAUGCAAGUCGAACGGAAAGGCCCUGCUUUUGUGGGGUGCUCGAGUGGCGAACGGGUGAGUAACACGUGAGUAACCUGCCCUUGACUUUGGGAUAACUUCAGGAAACUGGGGCUAAUACCGGAUAGGAGCUCCUGCUGCAUGGUGGGGGUUGGAAAGUUUCGGCGGUUGGGGAUGGACUCGCGGCUUAUCAGCUUGUUGGGUGGGUAGUGGAUUACCAAGGCCUUGAGCGGUAGCCGGCCUGGGAGGGUGACCGGCCACAUUGGGACUGAGAUGCGGCACAGACUACUACGGGAGGCAGCGGUGCGGAAUAGUGCACAAGGGGCUGAAGCCUGAUGCAGCAACGCAGCGUGCGGUAUGACGGCCUUCGGGUUGUGUACCGCUGUCGCCUGUGACGAAGCGUGAGUGACGGUAAUGGGUAAAGAAGCACCGGCUAACUACGUG
rnacentral:rRNA from 1 species